GUCUCAAUCACUUUGGAACGUCCAACAACGAAUAGUAGUGUGUGCUCCAUUAUUAAUCUGUAGCACGUGCUCUGCACUUCCAGCCUGCCUCAUGCACAAAUGAACAUGCCAGAGGAACCCCACAGGCAGAGAGAGGCAAGACACCAUCAGCAUAUCCGGAAACUAUAUGCAGGAAGGACCUAAAACGUUCCAGAUGUGGAAAUGCAUGGAUGACAUCUUCCUGGCUGUUAUGGUAAGUCCAUGUCUGAAGACUGGCUCAUUAAACCAUGUAUAGUCCCAU
rnacentral:lncRNA from 10 species